CCUAGCUUAUACGCGAAGAAGAGAGACCGCGUUGAUCUCGAAACGGGACGAGGAUAGGCAUAAAUUUACUCACCCGAUUUCUGAGGAAGUCCUCGAUGGCACGUUGCGCCGAGUCGCCCGUGACAUAAGAACGGCGCAUACUAUGCGGCGAGGGAACACUUGCCGCAAUGAGAUAGAUACUUUCACUCGGAAUAAAUCAAGUAACGACGGAGAGACAAGAAAGAAGAGGAAAGUAGAGAGAUACAAAGAGAGAGAAAGAUAUAUAUAUCUAUAUAUAUAUAUAUAUAUAUUAUAUAUAUAUA